rnacentral:lncRNA from 12 species
GGGUUCAUUCUACCUAAAAUCAUUUCUACCUGAAGCAAUUAUCAUUCUGUCAGAAACACGGCCAUGUUAUCACCCUGUAUCCUGGCAAACAAGUGUGCCCUCAGAUCAUCAUUAUAGGAUCUAUGAGAUGUCAGUAAUGAUGUGUCUUUCAGGGGCCAAUGGAAGGAUGCAUACCAACAAGGUGUUACAUCCAGAGGUGGCUCUUUGCUAUCUAAAUUGGACUUAACCGAACCUGGAAGCACAAUGUCUGAUGAACAUUCUUCUCCCACUCCCUAGAUUUUUGGUGUUUGCUCUCUGGCCCCCCAGAAAGAGAGAACAUAGUAGCUUAAAGAAACAGAUGGCACAGACAAGAAUUUGUGUUCGGUAAGUCUUCUUUUCCUAUCUUGAACUGUGGAACUUUCCAAAAUCCUCCAUCAUCAGUUUUAAAAUUAAGUGAGCCUACUAAAAAUUUCCCUCGAAGUCAGAAACUCCUCUUCUGUGUUGUUUCUCCUUACUUGUUUAUCCCUUUGGCCAAUAGCUGUGCAGAUGAUUUUGUUUCCCAGCAUGGGUAGAAGCUUGAUGUGUGGUUGUUAUUAUUUAACGUUGUUUGAAAUCUUGCUCCUGGAGGGUGAACAUUAAAGAUAAGUGAGCUAGAAGUGUAGAGGGAGCAUGUGUCAUUUGCUGAUGGGAAAGCCAAGGGAUUCAGGGACUGAGUUGGGAUCAGAAUGCAUUUUCUUUAUAGUCAGGAGAGGAAUUUGCUGGCAGAAUGGUUGGCAAUGAAUUAGUUUUCUAUUGCCAUGAAACAAUUUACCACAAACUUAGUAGUUUAAAACAACACAAAUGUAUUACCUCCUAAUUUCUAUAGGUCAGGAUCAACUGGGCUAAAAUCAUGGCAGCUAAGGCUGUAUUUGUUGCCUGGGGCCUGAGGUCCUCUUGUUGACAGAAUCCAUUUCCUUGAGGUUGUAGGACUGAGGUCCCCAUCUCCCUGCUAGCUAUUGGCUAAGGACCACUCUCAGCUCCUAGUUCUCUGUGCCUGUGGCCCCCCACUGGCAAUUCCCAACCAACAUGGCUUUCUUUCCUCCAGACCAGCAAGAGUACCUGUCUCUUCUUUCCCCUUCUGUGACCGGUCAGAGAAAACUCUCUGACUUUAAAGCACUCAUACGAGUGGGGUAAGACCAAUUUGGAUAAUCUCCUUAUCUUAGAGUCAAUUGAUGUGGAAC